AGCGAACGCUGGCGGCAGGCCUAACACAUGCAAGUCGAACGAACUCUUCGGAGUUAGUGGCGGACGGGUGAGUAACACGUGGGAACGUGCCUUUAGGUUCGGAAUAACUCAGGGAAACUUGUGCUAAUACCGAAUGUGCCCUUCGGGGGAAAGAUUUAUCGCCUUUAGAGCGGCCCGCGUCUGAUUAGCUAGUUGGUGAGGUAAAGGCUCACCAAGGCGACGAUCAGUAGCUGGUCUGAGAGGAUGAUCAGCCACAUUGGGACUGAGACACGGCCCAAACUCCUACGGGAGGCAGCAGUGGGGAAUCUUGCGCAAUGGGCGAAAGCCUGACGCAGCCAUGCCGCGUGAAUGAUGAAGGUCUUAGGAUUGUAAAAUUCUUUCACCGGGGACGAUAAUGACGGUACCCGGAGAAGAAGCCCCGGCUAACCUCGUG
rnacentral:rRNA from 1 species